rnacentral:rRNA from 1 species
UACGGAGGGUGCGAGCGUUAAUCGGAAUUACUGGGCGUAAAGCGUGCGCAGGCGGUUCUCCAAGUCCGUUGUGAAAGCCCCGGGCUCAACCUGGGAAUGGCAGUGGAAACUAGGGGACUGGAGUGUGGCAGAGGGGGUGGAAUUCCGCGUGUAGCAGUGAAAUGCGUAGAGAUGCGGAGGAACACCGAUGGCGAAGGCAGCCCCCUGGGCUAGCACUGACGCUCAGGCACGAAAGCGUGGGGAGCAAACAGG